AGUGAACGCUGGCGGCGUGCCUAAUACAUGCAAGUCGAACGGAGAUUAAGUAGCUUGCUAUUUAAUCUUAGUGGCGCACGGGUGAGUAAUAUAUAGCUAACUUGCCCAUUACUAAGGGACAACAGUUGGAAACGACUGCUAAUACCUUAUACUCCGUAUCUAUAUAAGUAGAUACGGGAAAGUUUUUCGGUAAUGGAUAGGGCUAUAUCGUAUCAGCUAGUUGGUAAGGUAAUGGCUUACCAAGGCUAUGACGCGUAACUGGUCUGAGAGGAUGAUCAGUCACACUGGAACUGAGACACGGUCCAGACUCCUACGGGAGGCAGCAGUAGGGAAUAUUGCUCAAUGGGGGAAACACUGAAGCAGCAACGCCGCGUGGAGGAGGACACUUUUCGGAGCGUAAACUCCUUUUCUUGGGAAAGAAUUAUGACGGUACCCAAGGAAUAAGCACCGGCUAACUCCGUG
rnacentral:rRNA from 1 species